rnacentral:rRNA from 1 species
UACGUAGGGGGCUAGCGUUGUCCGGAAUCAUUGGGCGUAAAGAGCGUGUAGGCGGCCCGGUAAGUCCGUUGUGAAAGUCCAGGGCUCAACCCUGGAAUGCCGAUGGAUACUGCCGGGCUAGAGUUCGGAAGAGGCGAGUGGAAUUCCUGGUGUAGCGGUGGAAUGCGCAGAUAUCAGGAGGAACACCUAUAGCGAAGGCAGCUCGCUGGGACGACACUGACGCUGAGACGCGAAAGCUAGGGGAGCGAACGGG